CUGUAACUCAGUGAUAGAGCACAUGCAGGAGGCCCUGAGUUUCCAUCCCUAGUUUAUAGUAAUUUAGUGAAGGGCGUUUUCAUUCUGAGCAGGGAUGAUGGAGAUGUGUGACAUCAGCUGAGCUUGACAUAAACACAGGACAAGAAUAUCAGAACAGUGAGGAGCAACAGGCAAGUUAAUCAAUGUUAUCUAACUGUUAUCUAACAUCAGCAGCAGAUAUUUAAUCUGAGACCACUUGCAUUCAUUAAAGCAGUUAUUUAGAUGUUGGGUCUACAUAAUGACAAACACCAUAAUAUUUUGUAAUAACCUGAUGAAUUACAAGGUUUUUCAUUUAAUCUGGGAGUUUAAGAUCCAUAGUAACAGCUUCAGCAUUUGCCUUGUUUUUCAUAUUAAGGUUUUCAAUCUCCAUCCAAGCAAGAGGGGCUAUUAAAAGCCAUCAAUUUAGCCAGGAACCUAUAUUGGGAUGAUAAAUUACCCAAAGAUAGUACUUUGGAAAACUUUUUUAAAAUGAAAUUGUUUAAAGUUAGGUAUCAUGAAAAUUAAGAUCUUGGGCAAAAGUGA
rnacentral:lncRNA from 1 species